rnacentral:rRNA from 1 species
CAGUAGCCGCGGGAAUACAGAGGGUGCGAGCGUUAAUCGGAUUUACUGGGCGUAAAUCGUGCGUAGGCGGCUUUUUAAGUCGGAUGUGAAAUCCCUGAGCUUAACUUAGGAAUUGCAUUCGAUACUGGGAAGCUAGAGUAUGGGAGAGGAUGGUAGAAUUCCAGGUGUAGCGGUGAAAUGCGUAGAGAUCUGGAGGAAUACCGAUGGCGAAGGCAGCCAUCUGGCCUAAUACUGACGCUGAGGUACGAAAGCAUGGGGAGCAAACAGGAUUAGAUACCCGUGUAGUCCCUGUCUCUUAUAC